UAUGCUCAGCCGUAAACUUAGAUUCAUAUUUAUUUUAGUAUCCGCCAGGGGACUACGAGCAAAAGCUUGAAACCCAAAGGACUUGGCGGUGCUUAAUACCCCCCUAGAGGAGCCUGUUCUGUAACCGAUAACCCUCGUUAAACCUCACCCUUUCUAGUUUUUCCCGCCUAUAUACCGCCGUCGUCAGCUUACCCUGUGAAGGGCUCAUAGUAAGCACAAUUAGUACUACUCAAAACGUCAGGUCGAGGUGUAGCACACGAAAGGGGAAGAAAUGGGCUACAUUUCCUGCUGACAGGAAACAACGAAAAGUGAAAUGAAACGUUCACUAGAAGGAGGAUUUAGAAGUAAGUAAGGGAGCAGAGAGCCCUACUGAACCUGGCCCUUAAGCGCGCA
rnacentral:rRNA from 1 species